AGACUGCGCAGGCGUAAAGGUUAACUGUUUCAUGACUUGAGUAAACAUUUUUGAAUUCCACCUCAAGAUUCGAAUGUGUCAACAGUGAUUUAUAGUAAAAUAUAAAUCUUCAUGGAAAUGAAAAGUUGUGUUUCUAGAAGAAGAAAGACUCUAAAAAUUACGCAAAGCGGGGACAAAAAGCAGCGUGCGCCGCCCGGGAAUCGAACCCGGGUCGCAAGAAUGGGAAUCUUGCAUGAUACCACUACACCAGCGGCGCUCACGGAAGCUGGGUUUGCCGAAAUACCUUAGGACCAAGUACACGCGGACGUUCGUUCCCAUAUUAGGAAGAUUUAGUCAUUUUAAAAUAAAAGUUUACCGAGCGUCUCCAUAACCUGUUACUUUUCAGAGUUUCCGGGAGUUUCCUAGCAGUCCAGUAUUUAGGACUC